rnacentral:rRNA from 1 species
UACGUAGGCAGCAAGCGUUGUUCGGAAUUACUGGGCGUAAAGAGCGUGUAGGCGGCCAGGUAGGUCGGUUGUGAAAACUGGAGGCUCAACCUUCAGAGGUCGACCGAAACCAUCUGGCUAGAGUCCGGGAGAGGAGAGUGGAAUCCUGGUGUAGCGGUGAAAUGCGCAGAUAUCAGGAAGAACACCCGUGGCGAAAGCGGCUCUCUGGAACGGUACUGACGCUGAGACGCGAAAGCGUGGGGAGCGAACAGG